UCCUGUAAUCCCAGCACUUUGGGAGGCUGAGGCAAGUAGAUCACAAGGUCAGGAGAUCGAGACCAUCCUGGCUAACACGGUGAAACCCCGUCUCUACUAAAAAACACAAAAAAAUUAGCCGGGUGUGGUGGCGAGCACCUGUGGUCCCAGCUACUCGGGAGGAUGAGGCAGGAGAAUGGCGUGAACCUGGGAGGCGGAGCUUGCAGUGAGCCGAGACUGCGCCACUGCACUCCAGCCUGGGCAACAGAGCGAGACUCCAUCUCAAAAAAAACAAAAAGUGCACCCUCUGCAGGGCCAACAAUAUU
rnacentral:lncRNA from 10 species